AGAGUUUGAUCCUGGCUCAGAAUCUGAACGAUGGAGGCAGGCUUAACACAUGCAAGUCGAGCGGUAACAGAGAUAGCUUGCUAUCUGCUGGCGAGCGGCGGGACCGAGGUGAGUAAUGCUUAGGAAUAUGCCAUAUGGUGGGGGACAACAGUUGGAAACGCACUGCUAAUACCGCAUAUACCGUCUACGGGCCAAAGCGGGGGAUUCGUUCGGGAACCUCUUGCGCAUCUUGAUUAGCGCCAAGUAGAGAUUAGCGUGAGUUGGUGAGGUAAUGGCUCGACUCAAGGCAGACGAUCUCUAGCUGGUUUGAGAGGAUGCKCAGSCACACUCGGACUGAGACAGGGCCCAGACUGCCACGGGAGGCAGCAGUGCGGGAAUAUUGGACAAUGGGCGAAAGCUGAGUCGCAGCCAUGCCGCGUGUGUGAAGAGAGGCCUUCGGGUUGUACAGAGCACUGUCAGUUGUGGGGAAAGGGGAGUAGUUAAUAGCUGCUCACUAUGACGUUACGAACAGAAGGAGCACCGGCUAACUCCGUGCCAGCAGCCGGGGCCAAUACGGCGCGGGGCGGGCGUUAAUCGGAAUUACUGGGCGUAAAGCGUGCGUGAGGCGGUUUGUSGGGCAAGAUGUGAAAGCCCAGGGCUCAACCUUGGAACUGCAUUUUGAACUGGCAAACUAGAGUACUGUAGAGGGUGGUGGAAUUUCCAGUGUAGCGGUGAAAUGCGUAGAGAUUGGAAGGAACAUCAGUGGCGAAGGCGGCCACCUGGACAGAUACUGACGCUGAGGCACGAAAGCGUGGGGAGCAAACAGGAUUAGAUACCCUGGUAGUCCACGCCGUAAACGAUGUCAACUAGCUGUCUGUGGACUUGAUCCGUGGGUAGCGGCACUAACGCAUUGAAGUUGACCGCCUCGGGCAGUACGGCGCGCAGAGGUUAAAAACUCAAAUGAAUUGUACGCGGGCCCCCGCACAACCGGGSSAGCGAUGUGGUUUAAUCUGCGCAUGCAACGCGAAGACCCUUACCACUCCCUGUGACGAUCGCACAGAAGAGAGCUACGCAGAGCAGACGUUGUGCUUCCGGCGAACUGUGAGACAGGUGCUGCAUGGCUGUCGUCAGCUCGUGUUGUGAAAUGUUGGGUUAAGUCGCCGCACGCGAGCGCAACCCCGUAGUCCUUAUCUGCCAGCGCGUGUAUGCCGGGAACUCUAAGGAGACUGCCGCGUGAUAAACCGGAGGAAGGUGGGGACGACGUCAAGUCAUCAUGGCCUUACGGGAUGGGCUACACGCGUGCUACAAUGGCGAGUACAGAGGGCAGCAAUACCCCGAGGUGGAGCGAAUCCCACAAAGCUUGUCGUAGUCCGGAUUGGAGUCUGCAACUCGACUCCAUGAAGUCGGAAUCGCUAGUAAUCGUAGAUCAGAAUGCUACGGUGAAUACGUUCCCGGGCCUUGUACACACCGCCCGUCACACCAUGGGAGUGGGAUGGAAAAGAAGUGGCUAGUUUAACUUCGGGAGGACGGUCACCACUUUGUGUUUCAUGACUGGGGUGAAGUCCUAACAAGGUAACC
rnacentral:rRNA from 1 species